UCAUCCUUCGGAGGCGAUGAAGCCUAGUCCUGUAUUCGGGCGCUUGGGACAGGUGGAGCCAGUAGCGCGACCGGCCGAACGAUCC
rnacentral:ncRNA from 1 species